CCAACAUCCCCCCGCACUCGGGCACCGCAGCGGGGUUGGAGCUGCAGGGCCGGGGAAGGUCUAGAGUGCCAGGCGCAUGGGACAUGGGACAGGGUGCUGAGUGAGCUCCCGAGCAGGACUGAAGCUCCAUGAGGACGGAGAACAUGCUUGCUUCCAUCCACUACUGGAUCCCCAAGGUCUGGCAGAGUGCUGGCCCCAUAACUUCCAUACAUCUCAUCCUAUAUACCUUCUGAAAGGAAACAUACCUGCCCCUGACCCCCAGGACUUGGCUGCUUCAUCACACUGUUACCAAUCACCGCUUGGAGAAAAGAAGUACCUUCUGCAGGUGGGUAGGAAGAUGAAGAGACUGGGGGUGGGAGUUGACGCUGGUCAGGAAGGGAGGAGUCAGGAUUCAGACAUAGGAGAGGAGAAGGUGGAAAUGUGUCAUGAGUUUCUUCAAAAUCCGUGAAUUCUGAAUCUCAUCAUUUUCAGUGAAUGAAAUCAGAUGAUUCACUUCCCUUCAUUAGCCCUCCAUAACACAUGAAAUUAUACAUCAUAUGGGCUAUGGAUGUUAUGUGAUUUUGCUUCUGUGCAAAAAUUUUGAAUAUACUGGCUGAAAGUAUUUCCUUAAACAUCAUUGACUUCCCGGCCCUACCUACCAGUUUUCAGUUUGCCUUGUUAAUCCUUUCUUCCUGGGUAUCCCCUUCAGCUUCCAGGUAAGUAGCCAUUGCCACCACCCAUGGUAACCCAAGCAGAACGUCCAGGACCAGGACCUAGCUUUGGUUCUUGGAGGGAGCUCAAGAUCUAGGUCUGGAAACCCAUGACCAACACUCCUUUAAGGUCACAAGUUCCUGACUGAGGAAGUAACUGGGUUUGGAUUAAUGACAAAGACAAUUUUGGCCAGGGCUCAAAAUAUUCGUGCAGAGAUCUAAGCUAGCCGGCUUGGGUGGGACUAGGAAUUGGGCCAGAGGUGGUGAGGCAGGGAAGGGUGAGAAAGAGUAGGGGUCAGAGGCUGAAGCUGGAGGGACCAACUCAGCCUCUCUGUUCAGGGCAUUACUGACGACAGAGUAUAACCUCAGGGUGCAGCCCCCGGGCCUCUCUGUUUUCCAUGAGUAAGGAAGCAAGUAUGUGGCUUCCUCUGCCCUGCUCUUUCCACUCUUUCCGCAGGCUGAUGGGGGUUAGCAGUUCCAGCACCUCCCCCAUCGUGUUUCAGUGCCUGCUGUGACAGCAGCAUCUUUUCCAUGAGCACUAAGCCAAACACAGGGAGGAACAGAAGACACACGGAAGCUACGUGGCCAGCAUUCAGGGCCUCUUUCCCAGAACUGCAGAGGAAUCCCUCUGCCCUGGGUAUAGAGGGGAAAAGAGUAGAGCUUCAAGCCACAGACAGCGGAUAAUGGUGGGAGGGAAUGGGAAUCAGGACGAUGGGGUGUGAUCAGCACAUGCAGCUGGCCAGCUGCUGGGAAUUGGCUAAGGACACGGCAUCCCGACUUGACUGGAAUUCUGGGAGUCACUCCAGAGAAUUGCUGGUCUUCUUGACCAGUAUAGCCAUAGUCAAGAAGGCAAGGCAGGCCCUCAGGGUAGGAAUUGUAGUUUACAAAGUUCAUCCUGCUUUUAUCUUUUUCUCUGAGAGAAAGAGAGAGCAUAUGUACAUGCAUGUGCAAGCAGAGGAGGGGUAGGGAGGCUUGUAGAGAGAGUCUCAAGCAAGCUCCAUGUCCAGCGUAGACCCAGGCUUGAUCUCAGGCCCCUGAGAUCAUGACCUGAACUGAAAUCAGGAGUCAGAUUUCACUCAAGUGAUGGAACCAUUCAGGCACUCCAGAAGUUCAUCCUUUUAUGUCUGGUAUCUUAGAACUGUGUCUGGCACAUAGUAGGCCCACAAUAAAUACUGAGUAUUUAUAAAUUUACAAAUUUAUAAAUAUUUAUAAAUAAAGGAAUGAAUGGAUGCUUUCCCACACAAGCAUGAUUCCAUUCAAUCUGCAGUGUGAGGCACAGGCAGAGUGGGUGUUGCCUUGUUUUGCAGAAAGGGAACUGAAAGCAAGAGAGUUAAGUGUCUUGCUUAAGGUUAUUGAACUUGGAUGUGGUAGACCUGGGACUAGACACUGUACUCUUGGUAUAGUACCAUGUUGAACACUCUUGGUGUAGCAACCCAGGAAUAUAUCCUGUGACUUGAUGUGAACUUCCCUUAGGUCCCACUGGUCAGAAAAUAGCCUUUUCAGGGGCCCAGUUUCCUGAACAUAGUCUCAGGGUCAAGUCUGGACAUCCUGGUUCUCUUUGCACAGCUGGCAUCUGCCUGCUCUUUUAUGAGAAGCUUCAGGAAAAGGGGCCCCUUUAUUAGUCUCUGUUGCCACAUCCGACUUGGCCCCCUGAAACACAGAGGCAGAGUGGUGGUUUGACUCUGUGAGUCAGGAACGGAAUGAAGUUCUGAAAUUAUGUUCCUUAUUCUCUUACCCUUGACAAAAACUUCAGAUAGCUUAGAUCACCAGGUUAGUUCCUGGAACUCAGGCAAGCAAUUAAAUCAUACUAUACCAAGGGUUUCUCAGGAACUAGGGCCCCACAGCCUGAGGAGUAUUCUGGAAGGCAGUCUCCAAAAGCAGCAAGAGGGUUUCCAGAGCCGGAAUAUUGUAUAUAUCACCUGGCCCUCAUCUUCACAGCAUUCUGUCUUGUACACCUCUUGUACCCCUCUGUAUGGAGCAUGGCAACAAGGAUCAGAAAACCUGGGUCUUAGUGCUGGCUUUGCUGACUCAUCUAGUCUGUAUCUUUUCUCUACCUCGUUCUCCUCAUUGCAAAAUGGGAAUAAUGGUUUCCAGCUAUGCCACAAAGAGGAAUAGAUUGUGUCAAAGUGCUUUUCAGCACAAGACAGGAAUAAUACCAGUACUAUUUUUUUAUGGCAAGAGGAAAAGAGAGUAGGGAAACUAACAGGAUGCCUCAAAGCUCUCUGUUCCCACUUGUUUGUUGAUCCAUCCCUCAUGAAGCACCUACGUGAGCAAGGCCUGUGCCCAGUACUGAGGAAGAGACAAAGAUAUUUAAGAUGUGGUCCCUGUCCUCAAAGAAUGGGAAAGACCAGCACAGCUUUGCAAGAAAAGACAGACACGAAGAUUUCAGGAAGCACCAAAGAUGGCAGAGUGGAAAGAAAGUUAAGAGCCGGAGAUUUCUGGAUGGUUCCACUAGGUGAAGGACUGUAGUAGGAAGGAAGGGGAAGAAGAGUGUCAGCUGCAUAACGGUCUCCAAGCCUCUUUGUCCAGGAGGAAAUGAGGUCAUCCUGCUCUCAAGAAUGAGCAUGACAGCCUCCAGCCAAGUAAUCUGGAGUCAUGAGAGCUGCUGGGGGUGCUCUAUGAAUCAUGACAGUGUGCUGGGAAUUUCCUGAUACUUAACCUAGUAGUUUCGGGGUAAGUCCUCAGGCUGCAACAUCUCUGUUUACAUUUUGAUCACGUUUAUUUGCAAUUAAUGGGUUCUAAAUCCAAACAAAACAUGCUUCAGGCUUUUAGAGGAAGUAGUGAGGUCCACUCUGCGAUCUAUAGCACCUCUGACUCAGUCCUUUCCCUGAGGUGCUGGCAGCUCAGCUGGGCACAGAAGAACUCUCUACAGAGGGUAAUGGGUCACCUUCCUCACGAAAGCUGGAUGGUUAACUUGCACUUUACCUGGAGCAGAGGCUGGCAUCCUGAUACCUCUCACAGGAGCAGAGCAGAGAAGCAUUCCUCUUCCCUACUCUGAUGGCUUUCUCCCCGUCAUCCUCUUGGCCCUCUCAAGUGGAUCCAGACCCAAGGUCCAAGCAACAAAAUGCUGUAGGCCUAGUCCGAAAAAGGGACCAAGCCUUGGGCCUGGCUUUAGGGCCCUGGUGAGUUACAGGGACUCAGCCCCCUUUCCUCCCAUUAGGGGGGACAGUCCUUCUGCGUAGAAAGAAGCGACUCCCCCCAAGCCCUGAUUCCCAACACUAGGGGAAAGGGAUGGGGUUGACUGAGCUUCCAAGUCCCUGCUGGGCUCCUUCAACUGUGUCUGAGGAAUACGUGCUUGUGCGUGUCUAUACAGCUCUGUGAGCUUGCCCUCAGGCAGGAAGAGCGGGUGGAGUCCUUUACACAUGGUCUGUCUUCCUGGAGGCCAAUCUUGUUGGA